rnacentral:rRNA from 1 species
AUUGAACGCUGGCGGCAUGCCUUACACAUGCAAGUCGAACGCGAAAGUAGGGGCAACCCUGCGAGUAGAGUGGCGAACGGGUGAGUAAUGCAUCGGAACAUUUCCAGUAGCGGGGGAUAACCUCGAGAAAUCGAGGCUAAUACCGCAUACGUCCUACGGGAGAAAGCGGGGGACCGCAAGGCCUCGCACUAUUGGAGUGGCCGAUGCCGGAUUAGCUAGUUGGGGGGGUAAAAGCCCACCAAGGCGACGAUCCGUAGCUGGUCUGAAAGGAUGGUCAGCAACACUGGGAUUGAGAGCCGGCACAGACUCCUACGGGAGUCAGCAGUGGGGAAUUUUGGACAAUGGGCGCAAGCCUGAUCCAGCCAUGCCGCGUGAGUGAAGAAGGCCUUCGGGUUGUAAAGCUCUUUCGGCCGGGACGAAAUCGCACCCUUUAAUACGGGGUGUGGAUGACGGUACCGGAAGAAGAAGGACCGGCUAACUACGUGCCAUCCGCCGCCGUAA